rnacentral:rRNA from 1 species
AACGAACGCUGGCGGUAUGCCUAAUACAUGCAAGUCGAACGAUCACUUCGGUGAUAGUGGCGCACGGGUGCGUAACGCGUGGGAAUCUGCCCUUGGGUUCGGAAUAACAGCUGGAAACGGCUGCUAAUACCGGAUGAUGACGUAAGUCCAAAGAUUUAUCGCCCAGGGAUGAGCCCGCGUAGGAUUAGCUAGUUGGUGGGGUAAAGGCUUACCAAGGCGACGAUCCUUAGCUGGUCUGAGAGGAUGAUCAGCCACACUGGGACUGAGACACGGCCCAGACUCCUACGGGAGGCAGCAGUAGGGAAUAUUGGACAAUGGGGGCAACCCUGAUCCAGCAAUGCCGCGUGAGUGAUGAAGGCCUUAGGGUUGUAAAGCUCUUUUACCCGGGAUAAUAAUGACAGUACCGGGAGAAUAAGCCCCGGCUAACUCCGUGCCAGCCGCCGCAGUAA